UACGUAGGUGGCGAGCGUUGUCCGGAAUUACUGGGUGUAAAGGGCGUGUAGGCGGGAAUGCAAGUCAGAUGUGAAAUGCCGAGGCUUAACUUCGGAGCUGCAUCUGAAACUGUGUUUCUUGAGUGUCGGAGAGGAAAGUGGAAUUCCCAGUGUAGCGGUGAAAUGCGUAGAUAUUGGGAGGAACACCAGUGGCGAAGGCGACUUUCUGGACGAUAACUGACGCUGAGGCGCGAAAGCGUGGGGAGCGAACAGG
rnacentral:rRNA from 1 species